UACGAAGGGGGCUAGCGUUGCUCGGAAUCACUGGGCGUAAAGCGCACGUAGGCGGCUUGUUAAGUCAGGGGUGAAAUCCUGGAGCUCAACUCCAGAACUGCCUUCGAUACUGAGAGUCUCGAGUCCGGGAGAGGUGAGUGGAACUGCGAGUGUAGAGGUGAAAUUCGUAGAUAUUCGCAAGAACACCAGUGGCGAAGGCGGCUCACUGGUCCGGUACUGACGCUGAGGUGCGAAAGCGUGGGGAGCAAACAGG
rnacentral:rRNA from 1 species